rnacentral:misc_RNA from 1 species
GAAAAACCGAUAAGCUGUGCCUCUACAUUCUUGAUUUUCCGGUGAUGAAACAGCUUCAGUAUCAGCACCAUCUGGGCCUUAAACACAAUGUUUUCAUGCCCAUGGCGAUGCCGCUAUCUACACCUCCAUUAAUCCCUCUUCCAACACUUGCCCUUAAACUCAAAACUUCACUUAUUACUCCAAUUUCCUCAACUCGUCUUCUCUGUAAAUUCAAUGAUUCCGAUAUGACCUCACAGCUGGAAAUUCUGAAGCCUGAAGGGAAGAAGCCAGACAAGGGUGUCAAUGGGAUUUUCUGGAUUCUACUUCUUAACCUGGGAAUAUAUGUAGCAGAUCAUGUUUUCCAGGUUCGGGCAGUAAAAGCAUU